rnacentral:rRNA from 1 species
AGACGCAGUGAACUGAAACAUCUAAGUAGCUGCAGGAAGAGAAAGAAAGAUCGAUUUCCUUAGUAGCGGCGAGCGAAGAGGAAAGAGCCCAAACCAAGUGAUUUAUCAUUUGGGGUUGUAGGACUGCGACGUGGUAGCGUGAGUGAUAGCAGAAUUAUCUGGGAAGGUAAGCCAGAGAGGGUGAGAGCCCCGUACGUGAAAUUGCAAGCGCGCCUAGCAGAAUCCUGAGUAGGCCGGGACACGAGGAAUCCCGGUUGAAACCGCGAGGACCAUCUCGCAAGGCUAAAUACUAAUUAGUGACCGAUAGUGAACCAGUACCGUGAGGGAAAGGUGAAAAGCACCCCGGGAGGGG